CUUUUAUUUUUCGAUUUCAACACCCAUCUUUGCAUAAAACCCAUAGCUCACUUUCUACGGUUUCAUUCACUGCGGUUAACUUCUUUCUUAUAUCCUGUCUCCAUCUUUUAGUAUAGAUACAUGCAUUUCUCUCAUUCAGUUGUUAUCUUGUUUUUGUAAUUUUACUUUUAAACAAACGAAGGAAAUAUUUUUCACGUAUAACAAGGAGACCAACUCGAAACUGAACCCAUUGAACAGAGUGAUGGCAGCCAGACUUGACUUUGAAGAAAGGAAAUUUAUUCUAAAAUGCUACUGGAAGUAUGAAAACGCAGUAGAAGUGCAAAGACAAUUUAGGAGGGAGUUUAACAAAGAACCACCAACACGAGUUACCAUCACUCGAAUUAGAGAUAAGUUUGAAGCUGAUGGAAUUGUUCAGGACGCCCAUUAGAAGCGUUCUGGAACACCACGUACAUCGACAAGCCCCACAAAA